GAUGAAGAACGCAGCGAAAUGCGAUAAGUAAUGUGAAUUGCAGAAUUCAGUGAAUCAUCGAAUCUUUGAACGCACAUUGCGCCCCCUGGUAUUCCGGGGGGCAUGCCUGUUCGAGCGUCAUUUCACCACUCAAGCCUCGCUUGGUAUUGGGCAACGCGGUCCGCCGCGUGCCUCAAAUCGACCGGCUGGGUCUUCUGUCCCCUAAGCGUUGUGGAAACUAUUCGCUAAAGGGUGUUCGGGAGGCUACGCCGUAAAACAACCCCAUUUCUAAGGUUGACCUCGGAUCAGGUAGUGAUACCCGCUGAACUUAAGCAUAUCAAUAAGCGGAGGA
rnacentral:misc_RNA from 1 species